GAGUAACGCGUAGGAAUCUACCUUUCGGUGGGGGAUAGCCCGGUGAAAACCGGAUUAAUACCGCAUAAGCCCUACGGGGGAAACGAGGCCUCUUCUUGAAAGCUUCGACCGAUAGAUGAGCCUGCGUUAGAUUAGCUAGUUGGUAGGGUAAUGGCCUACCAAGGCGACGAUCUAUAGCUGGUCUGAGAGGAUGAUCAGCCACACUGGGACUGAGACACGGCCCAGACUCC
rnacentral:rRNA from 1 species